GGGGUUAGAAGAAUGGCCCGAUUUGCGUUCGCAACGCAUAGGUCGGGGGUUCGAAUCCCCUCAGCUCCA
rnacentral:tRNA from 1 species